GAAUAUUGCACAAUGGGCGCAAGCCUGAUGCAGCGACGCCGCGUGUGGGAUGAAGGGGCUACGCCUCGUAAACCACUGUAGCCCGGGACGAAAAAAGCCUUAGAGGCGUUAGCCGGUACCGGGAAAGAAAGGGUCGGCUAACUACGUGCCAGCAGCCGCGGUAAUACGUAGGACCCAAGCGUUGUCCGGCUUUACUGGGUGUAAAGGGAGCGCAGGCGGGAUAAAAAGUCAGUGGUGAAAUCCUACAGCUUAACUGUAGAACUGCCGUUGAUACUUUUAUUCUUGAGUUCGGGAGAGGGAGACGGAAUUCCAGGUGUAGUGGUGAAAUACGUAGAUAUCUGGAAGAACACCAGUUGCGAAGGCGGUCUCUUGGUCAGAGACUGACGCUGAGGCGCGAAAGCGUGGGGAGCAAACA
rnacentral:rRNA from 1 species